rnacentral:rRNA from 1 species
AACUUUCAACAACGGAUCUCUUGGUUCUGGCAUCGAUGAAGAACGCAGCGAAAUGCGAUAAGUAAUGUGAAUUGCAGAAUUCAGUGAAUCAUCGAAUCUUUGAACGCACAUUGCGCCCGCGAGUAUUCUCGCGGGCAUGCCUGUUCGAGCGUCAUUUCA